ensembl:lncRNA
AUGGACCCCGAUAGUCCCGAUUCACAAACGUGUGUCCUCUCCCCGGAGACGGCCGGCCCUGGUGUCCAGAACAGGAGGCACCGCAAGGGACCACGGGCCGCCCGUCCUCCUCCCCGAAGUGCGCCGGAAGCGCUUCCUUGCCUCCUUGGGGGAACGGUCGUCCCGCUGCCUUCCCGGUCGUCCCCCAGGCGGCCACGGUUCCCGGUCAAGUGCUCAGGACUCCGCAGACGGGUUUCCUGCAGGUCGGGCUGCACCUAUUCCAGGGGCGCCAGGAGUCCCUUCUAUUCUCCUCGGGCUCAGAAGUGGAAAGGAUGGUGUCCGUGUGGAGGCGCUGUGUUUCCCGGGUAUGAGACACGGAUACAUCUGUGUGAGAAUCACAAAGCUGACAGAUUGGUGGCUGCUGUGGCGAGGUCGACCAGAUGGCCCGACAGAAACACUGUUUCAAGUUUAUCCACAGAGUAUCCAAUUGAAGACGACCAGAGAAGGAUGUUGAAAUGAAGAACUUUCUUAACACACUGGGAAGUUGGGGAACCUCUCCUUCCAGUCACGAGGUCCUGCCCUGCAGCAACCGACCUGGAAAACCAGACCCCAGCCCCUGCAGCAAUGGGCUCCAGGAUUCAGUGCGUGGCCCAGAACUGAUGAUUACACAACUCGGUUUAAACUCUGUGAAAGAAAGUGAAGCUGCUCAGUCAUGCCUGACUCUUUGCAACCCCAUGGACUGUAGCCUACCAGGCUCCUCUGUCCAUGGGGUUUUCCAGGCAAGAGUACUGGAGGGCAUUGCCAUUUCCUUCUCCAGGGGAUCUUCCCAACCCAGGGAUCCAGCCUGGGUCUCCCCCAUUGUAGGGAGAUGCUUUGCCAUCUGAGCCACUUAAACUCUGUACUAGGGAUUAUAUAACAACCAUGUAUCCUGCUUGAGGACAGUUUCUCCUUCCUGAAAACCUUCCAAUUAAUCCUGAUAUCUUAGAAUGUAUAUUAUGGGAAUGGGUCUGGUAGGAUCUUUCUGUUAAAUUCUAAUCCUGUUAUCCUAAAAUGUUAAUUAUGGGAGUGGGUCUGGUAAAACUUUCACAAACCUGAGACAUUCUUUUGAUUUAUUGUAGUAACUAAUUUAAAAAGUAUAUACCUCCCUUGCUAACACUAGCAAGGGGGGGCACUCCCCACCCCCUUCUGCUGUCCAUGUCAGAAGCUUUCUCUGACCUUUUCCCACUGUCAUAAAACUCUGCUACACAAACGCUCUUGAGUGAUCAAUCCUGGUCCCUGGUCCUGAAGCUAAAUCUUCUUCGGAGAUCCUGAAUCUGACAUCGUUCAUAGUAAGCUCAAUUGAAUCUAUAACAAUCUCUUAAAAGCCAAAUAUAAUCUUAAAAUAAGCUAUGCUGCUGCUAAGUCACUUCAGUCGUGUCCAACUCUGUGCGGCCCCAUAGACGGCAGCCCACCAGGCUCCCCCAUCCCUGGGACAUACCCUCUUGUGAUGCGUGUCCCAGGGAUAUGCGUCACAUAUGACACUUCCUGCAUGUCCCAGGGAUAUACGUUUUAUGACACUUCCUGCAGUGUUCUCCAGGCAAGAACACUGGGGUGGGUUGCCAUUUGAAAAAUCAAAGUGAAGUCGCUCAGUCAUGUCCGACUCUUAGCAACCACAUGGACUGCAGCCCACCAGGCUCCUCCAUCCAUGGGAUUUUCCAGGCAAGAGUACUGGAGUGGGAUGCCGUUGCCUUCUCCAAAAUAAGCUAUAUGCCCUAUUAAAAUAAAAUUCAACUGAGUAAAAUUUUAAAAUCUUAG